GGGGCUGAUUCUGGAUUCGACGGGAUUAGCAAAGCCCAAGGUGCACGUCGAGGUGCGGUAGGCCUCGUAAAUAAACCGCAAAAAAUAGUCGCAAACGACGAACAAUACGCUUUAGCAGCUUAAUAACCUGCAUUUAGCCUUCGCGCCCCAACUUCCGCUCGUAAGACGGGGAUAACGCGGAGUCAAACCAAAACGAGAUCGUGUGGAAGCCGCCGUUUGAGGAUCGAAGCAUUAAAUUGAAUCAAACUGGCUUAAGUUUAGCGUGUCUGUCCGCAUGCUUAAGUGAAACUAAAGACCGACUAAACGUGUAGUACUGAAGGUAGAGUGAUUUCGGACGCGGGUUCAACUCCCGCCAGCUCCACCA
rnacentral:tmRNA from 1 species